rnacentral:rRNA from 1 species
UACGUAGGCAGCAAGCGUUGUUCGGAGUUACUGGGCGUAAAGGGUGUGUAGGCGGUUGUUUUAAGUUUGGUGUGAAAUCUCCCGGCUCAACCGGGAGGGUGCGCCGAAUACUGAAUGACUAGAGUGCGGGAGAGGAAAGUGGAAUUCCUGGUGUAGCGGUGAAAUGCGUAGAUAUCAGGAGGAACACCGGUGGUGUAGACGGCUUUCUGGACCGUAACUGACGCUGAGACACGAAAGCGUGGGUAGCAAACAGG